AACACUGGGCAACUAACAGCCUAGCUGAGUCUUACUUUUAUAAUCUGAAAAUGGGGAUAAUACUACCUGUAUCAUUAGUGUGGGGGAAGAUUAAAUUUAUUUUCAACCUCAGUCUUUCCUCAAACUCUCUCUUAUCCAUCUACUCACCAGCUCCAACUAUUUGUCUAGCAGGCAUCUCAAACUUACCGUGACUAUAACUAAGUUCCUGACCUUCUCCCUCACCCUGAAACCCAUUUUUCCUGCUUCUUCAUCUCUGUAAAUAGCAACUCCAACCAAAAACCUUGAAGUCCACCUUUGACUCCUCUCAUGCCCCACAUCCAAUAUGUCAAAAAUCCUAUCUCCUUUCAAAGUAAAUCCAACCACUUAUGACUUCCACUGCUCCCACUCCAGGCCAAAGCACCUUAUCUCUUAAUUAGAUUAUAGCAGUAGCCUCCUGUCCCCCUCAGUCUAUUCUCAGUGAAUGGCAGUCAGUUGUUAAAACAUGAAACCAAUCAUGUCACUCCUCUGCUCAAAACUUUGGAAGCCUUUCAUCACAUUCAUAGCAUAAAAGGCAACACCCUAAGGCCCCCUGAGGCUCUGCUGCUCAUCACCCGCUCUCUGCCUCAUUUGCUCCCACCCACCCCUGCUCCUGGAGGUCCAGGCUCCCCGGGACUCCCGCUCUCCUAGUACACAUGAGGCUCACUGCUGCCCGGGGCCUCUGCCUGGGAGGUUCUUCCUCCAGAUGUGUUCCCCGAUAUUUCACACGACACCUCCCUGAUGUCCUUUCUCAAAUGUUACCCACUCACAGUGAGGCCUUCCCUGCUCACUGUCCUUCAGACUGUAAACCCUUCCUUCUAGUCCUCCCAGUGCCCCCUUCCCAGCUAUCAUUUUCUCCAGAGCCCCACGAUUCAACAUACUAAGUAUUUUAUUUGUCUAUUGUCUCUCCUUCUUUCUAGAAAGUAAGCCCUUAGAGGACAAAGAUUUUUGUUCCUUUUGUUCACUCCUGUGCCCACAAACACCUAGAAUAUUAGCUGGUCCACAAAAAUUGUUGAGAAGAGUUAAACAACUCCCUCACGUGGAACUGAAGGAAACUGAAUUCAACUCCAGGCACCUGGUUCCGGGGCAAAGAUUUUGGAUCAGGUAACCCAAAGGCCCCUCUGAUAUGACCAGGGUUCCUAUGUGUUCCUCUCAAUAGUGCACUUUAUCCUUUUAGCUACUGCCUGUGGGAAUAAAUAGGCUGCCAAUGAUAGCCUGUAUUCCUUGUUAAAAUAUUUUAUACCCACAUUUUUGAUUGUUUUAUAGUUAAACCAUAUUCUUAUGAAUUAAAUCAUCACAGUGUUUGGUAGAAGUUGUGGGGUAGUUGCUGUAGGGGAUGGAUACCCUCAGUCCCAAAAUGGACCUAUUUCCACAUGGGGACUACUUUUGGGCUAAUCAGAGCAAGUUGCCAAGAUCACACCAGAUCAGAUCAUCAGUUGGGUCUCCUAAGGAAAAAUGCCACCAAAAUGGGUGUAAAGGUUGAAGACUGUACUUGCUUCUCUCUUCUCUCCUGAUGAUAUGCCUACUAUUUAUCACAGACUUUGGGUUACUCUGCUGUCAGAGGGUGAUCAGUGAGACCACUGUUAAAAAUUCUAUGCAAGAUGGAGGAAAGACUUUCCCUGUCAGUCUUUACUGAAGGCUUGACCUGUGAUCAGGGCCUAAAGUGGUACAUCACUUACUCCUGUGAUACUCUCAUGUAGUCAAAAAUAGGUUCUUCAGAUUCUGUAUGUCAGACAAGCCUGCUAAUAAGGUAGGGUUUUGAAUUUUCCUGAAAAUAACUGCUAGGACCAUCUCCUUCUAUUCUUGUUACCUAACUGCUGCAUUUUUAUGACUCAUUUUCCAUGGCUGCACUCAAUGGCCUGAAGGCAGGCAAAGCUGGUGAGAUAUGUGUGAAGGUCAUGCAGGACACCCGGGUCAAUAGGGCCCACUGAUGUUCUCUGAGGCCACUAGCUCCGCUCCACCUCUAGGUGCCUGCCCACCCCACCCCCAGUUACACACUCCCAAGGGACCCUAGAUAUCUCCUUUGCAACAUUCAUCACACUCACACUUUUUAAGCAUCUAAAUUCUCCAACAGAGUAUAAGCCCCUUGAGAGCAGUGGCAUAUUUCAUUCAUCACCAUAUACCCUGGAUAUAGGUCACUACCCAGGCUCAUAGUAGGCACUCAGUAAGUAUCUGUUGAUUGGCUAAUUACAAAGAAAUAUACUCAUAGCCCAGUCUGAAGCUUUACAGAUUUUAUGCUAUAUCAAAACUCACAGACACACACAGUAGAGAAAUGUCCCAUAGGACACCAAUGUGUCUGCCCAGCAUUCCUUACCCUGGUGCAGAUACCACCUGGCCUAGUCAAGGUACUCAAUCCUCCUGGCUAUCAUGAGUGGCUGGACCCCUCCCGUGCACAAAUAACAUACCCCAGUCAAGCCAAUCACAGCCCUCUCUGGGACUUACUCUUCUCAGGGACUAUAGGCCAAAAGGGGCAUGUGAGUAUGGAGCUGCCAGUGGAGGGAGCCUGCCUCGGAUUGAAAUCAAUACCAGAGACUGAGAAAGCCAACAAAAAAACAACCCAUUGAAACUGUGAAACAGCAAUGAUUAUUUCUUACCUUCAGCAGCUUCCUGCAUUUUUAUUCUAUUCAGUCUCUUCUGCUGCUCUCUUAGCAAGGCUUGCUGCUGAAUCUCUAAGGUAUGAUAAUCUCUUGGAGGAUCCGGGUAGAUAAAUUUCAAAUCAACUCGUGUUUCUGAAUCUGGUACAAAAAUAAGUUAUAUUAACCAAGUUAAAUCUUGUUUCCAAAUGAGAUUUUAUAAAACUUCACUAUAAAUAGGAACAGUAUAAAUAAGGAGACAUCAAUCAGCAAAGUCAAAGGACAUCAUCAUAAAACUAAUGAUCACAAAAUUAACAUUCUUUAAAUAAAUGCCUUUUCACAAACUUAUCACCAUUAUAAGGGAGCCCCCAGAGCAAGCAGCAGCUGACUGCCACAUUCUCCAUCCUGACCUUCCCACUCCCCCAAGAUGCCACCCAGAGCCUGCCACUAUGUGCAGGUACAUCCAAGCAAUUAUUCAGAUGGCUGUAACUCAGGCAGCCACCAGACACUGAAUCACAGCUGAUCCCUAAAAUACACUGGAAAAAUGAAACCAUAAUGUUAUUGGCCAAUUAAUAUUUGUAAAUAUCAUGCCAAAAAAAAUGAAAAGAUAAAUGCAGGCUGCCUGGAGCUUUAGGAGGGAUGUCAUUUCUGCAGGAAAUGACAGUCUAAGAAUUCACCUAUGCCACAAGUUCAAGAAUUAUCAACUGAUCAGAAUUAAAAUGUUAAACCUUAAUUUUUAAAUCUUGAGAAUAAAAAUAUAGUUCACACAUUUAAAAAGUCUUGACAAUAUUCCUUUUGAUCCACAGUGGAACUAAUCAGAACCCUAUGCCCCGCCCCCAACCCAAGUACAAAGGCCCCUCCUUGUCUCCUGCCUCUUGUUUAUAGAGAAGCUGAAGUCUCCCAGGCCUCCCUGAGUCACAAAGGAGCAGGCUCAAGCAGCUAAUGAUCAGGACAACAGAGUCACAGACUCAGUGUCUGAUGCACACUCCUGAGUUGUUUUACAGAUACUGUACCUGCCACCAGAAGGAAAAAGCGGACUGCAUGAUGAUCAGACUGCAGCCGUGACAUAAACUGCUCCACCUUGAGCAGUCGCUUGUUCUGCCCACAUAUGUAAAUGGGCAACUACAACUGCCAGCAAAGAGAUGCUACAGACCCAUGCCAACAACUUCCACCCUAAGAAUACAGCACCGUAUGUCAGCAUGAAGAAGUUACAAAGACCUUCAUGCAUGAUCCCACAGAAACGGAAUGAUGUUCUGCCAAGUGGGGAUUUGUAAGCAGCUUUUGGCAGGAAAGAGCUCUCUGCAGGAGGCCCCUUUGUCUGUCAUUAACCUUAAACCAGGCACCCCCAUGCUCUCCUCAUCUCCAGCCCUAGCACACCUUUCAAAUCUUUUGAUCACACAAUACCUUGCCUAAUGUGUUGGUUCUUUCUGUAGAUCAAAGAAGUAGAAAUGAAGAAUAAGUAAUUAACAGAUGACCAGAUCUCUUCCCUAGCUUCCCCUUCAGUAAUCUCACAAACUGUGUGAAUAGCAACUAAAGAAUGAUCAUGAGUAGUCAACAGGCCUGCACACAGUGGGGGGGCGAUGACUCUGACCCCCAUCCCAAUGAGUAACUGAGAUGACUUCCCUCUUUCCCUUUAAAAACUUUCAUGGCCCAGCAGAAUCUUCAGGAUGGUUUUUGGGGGACAUUGAGUCCAGCAUCUCGCCAGAUUGUCAGCAUUCUGAUUAAAAACAACUUUCCUUUCCA